UAUAUUCAAAAAUAUCCUGUGAAAUCGGCGAGGUCGUAUUUUAAAUAGUUUUUGAAUGGCAGCGUUCUAAAUAGCGACCGCUCAGAGCUACUCAAUCGACCGGAAUCAUGCCAGCAGUUGAGGCACUUUUUUUUUGGCACUUCCGCAGACAGCACAUUAGCAGCUCCGUUAUUUUUCAAUAUUUUUGUAAAUUUUUUUUUUUUUAAUAUAGCUAAAAAUAUACUUUAUUACGUCCAUAGAACGUCGAAACAA